CGAGCACGCGCGUGUGGCAUAUCAAUAAGCGGAGGAAAAGAAACUAACAAGGAUUCCCCUAGUAACGGCGAGUGAAGCGGGAAGAGCUCAAAUUUGAAACCUUCAAGGGUUUCCCUUGACGAAUUGUAGUUUAAAGAAGUGUUUUCUGUUAGAGAGGUGGUAAAAGUUCUUUGGAAUAGGACAUCAUAGAGGGUGAGAAUCCCGUAUUUGAUCACUUUCUACUAACGUUGUGAUACACUUUCAAAGAGUCGGAUUGUUUGGGAAUGCAGUCCAAAAUGGGUGGUAAAUUUCAUCUAAAGCUAAAUAUUGGCGAGAGACCGAUAGCGAACAAGUACCGUGAGGGAAAGAUGAAAAGAACUUUGAAAAGAGAGUUAAACAGUACGUGAAAUUGUCAAAAGGGAAGCGUUUGACACCAGUGUUGUUUUUUCCGAAAAUCAAUUAUGAAUGGCUUGAUUUUAAGUUUCAUGACCUUAAAAGCUUGUUUCUUAUUUUUCAUGUCUUUCGUAAUGCACUUUUCGGUUAACAAGUCAACAUCAAUUUCUUUUGUUGUAAAAGGUUAAGAGGAAGGUGGCUUUACUUUCGGGUAAAGUGUUUAUAGCCUUUUAACUCUGCAAUCGGAGAGAUUGAGGUCUGCAGCGUAGAUCCUUCGGGGUUAGAUGCAGUUUGUGCUAAGUUAUAGCUUUUCAUAGACAACUUGUUGACUAUGUUUAGUCUUGUAGCUUACUCGCUGACGCUAUUUUACCUACGCUUAGGAUGUUGAGUCAUCACACAUCUCU
rnacentral:rRNA from 1 species